UGCCAAGUACGUUUAAUUGGUAAAACGCUAUACCCCGUAAGGGCAAAUAAUUUAUAGGUUCAACUCCUAUCUUGGCAU
rnacentral:tRNA from 1 species